GACUGGGGCGGUCUCCUCCUAAAGAGUAACGGAGGAGCACGAAGGUUGGCUAAUCCUGGUCGGACAUCAGGAGGUUAGUGCAAUGGCAUAAGCCAGCUUGACUGCGAGCGUGACGGCGCGAGCAGGUGCGAAAGCAGGUCAUAGUGAUCCGGUGGUUCUGAAUGGAAGGGCCAUCGCUCAACGGAUAAAAGGUACUCCGGGGAUAACAGGCUGAUACCGCCCAAGAGUUCAUAUCGACGGCGGUGUUUGGCACCUCGAUGUCGGCUCAUCACAUCCUGGGGCUGAAGUAGGUCCCAAGGGUAUGGCUGUUCGCCAUUUAAAGUGGUACGCGAGCUGGGUUUAGAACGUCGUGAGACAGUUCGGUCCCUAUCUGCCGUGGGCGCUGGAGAACUGAGGGGGGCUGCUCCUAGUACGAGAGGACCGGAGUGGACGCAUCACUGGUGUUCGGGUUGUCAUGCCAAUGGCACUGCCCGGUAGCUAAAUGCGGAAGAGAUAAGUGCUGAAAGCAUCUAAGCACGAAACUUGCCCCGAGAUGAGUUCUCCCUGAGACUUAGAGUCUCCUGAAGGAACGUUGAAGACGACGACGUUGAUAGGCCGGGUGUGUAAGCGCAGCGAUGCGUUGAGCUAACCGGUACUAAUGAACCGUGAGGCUUAACCUU
rnacentral:rRNA from 1 species